GACGAACGCUGGCGGCGUGCUUAACACAUGCAAGUCGAACGGACAGACGCUGAGCUUGUGCGGUUCUCGAUUGCCGAACGGGGGUGUAAAACGUGAGUAACCUCCCCUUGUCUUUGGGAUAACUUCUGGGGACUGGGGCUAAUACCCGAUAGGAUCUCCUGCAGCAUGUUGGUGGUUGGUAAGUUUCGGCGGUUGUGGAUGGACUAGCUGGUUAUCAGCUUGUUUGGGGAGUAGUGGCUUACCAAGGCUUGCAAGGGUAGCCGGCCUAGGAGGGUGACCGGCCACACUGGGACUGAGAGACGGCACAGACUCGUAAGGGAGGCAGCAGUGGGGGAUAGUGAAGAAGGGGCGGAAGCCGGAUGAAGCAACGCUGCGUGUGGGAUGACGGCCUUCGGGGUGUAAACCGAUUUCGCCUGUGACGAAGCGUGAGUGACGGUAAUCGGUACAGAAGCACAGGCUAACUAAGUG
rnacentral:rRNA from 1 species